rnacentral:rRNA from 1 species
AGAGUUUGAUCAUGGCUCAGAUUGAACGCUGGCGGCAUGCCUUACACAUGCAAGUCGAACGGUAACMGGUCUUCSGAUGCUGACGAGAGGCGAACGGGUGAGUAACACAUCGGAACGUGCCCGAUCGUGGGGGAUAACGGAGCGAAAGCUUUGCUAAUACCGCAUACGAUCUACGGAUGAAAGCAGGGGACCCUUGGGCCUUGCGCGGACGGAGCGGCCGAUGGCAGAUUAGGUAGUUGGUGGGAUAAAAGCUUACCAAGCCGACGAUCUGUAGCUGGUCUGAGAGGACGACCAGCCACACUGGGACUGAGACACGGCCCAGACUCCUACGGGAGGCAGCAGUGGGGAAUUUUGGACAAUGGGCGCAAGCCUGAUCCAGCCAUGCCGCGUGCAGGAUGAAGGCCUUCGGGUUGUAAACUGCUUUUGUACGGAACGAAAAGACUCCUUUUAAUAAAGGGGGUUCAUGACGGUACCGUAAGAAUAGGCACCGGCUAACUACGUGCCAGCAGCCGCGGUAAUACGUAGG